GGUGAAGGAUUUACUCCGUAAGCUCUGGCUGGUCGAAGAUACCAGGCCGCUGCGACUGUUUAUUAAAAACACAGCACUCUGCAAACACGAAAGUGGACGUAUAGGGUGUGACGCCUGCCCGGUGCCGGAAGGUUAAUUGAUGGGGUUAGCGCAAGCGAAGCUCUUGAUCGAAGCCCCGGUAAACGGCGGCCGUAACUAUAACGGUCCUAAGGUAGCGAAAUUCCUUGUCGGGUAAGUUCCGACCUGCACGAAUGGCGUAACGAUGGCGGCGCUGUCUCCACCCGAGACUCAGUGAAAUUGAAAUCGCUGUGAAGAUGCAGUGUAUCCGCGGCUAGACGGAAAGACCCCGUGAACCUUUACUGUAGCUUUGCACUGGACUUUGAGCCUGCUUGUGUAGGAUAGGUGGGAGGCUUUGAAGCGUGGACGCCAGUUCGCGUGGAGCCAUCCUUGAAAUACCACCCUGGCAUGCUUGAGGUUCUAACUCUGGUCCGUAAUCCGGAUCGAGGACAGUGUAUGGUGGGCAGUUUGACUGGGGCGGUCUCCUCCUAAAGAGUAACGGAGGAGUACGAAGGUGCGCUCAGACCGGUCGGAAAUCGGUCGCAGAGUAUAAAGGCAAAAGCGCGCUUGACUGCGAGACAGACACGUCGAGCAGGUACGAAAGUAGGUCUUAGUGAUCCGGUGGUUCUGUAUGGAAGGGCCAUCGCUCAACGGAUAAAAGGUACUCCGGGGAUAACAGGCUGAUACCGCCCAAGAGUUCAUAUCGACGGCGGUGUUUGGCACCUCGAUGUCGGCUCAUCACAUCCUGGGGCUGAAGCCGGUCCCAAGGGUAUGGCUGUUCGCCAUUUAAAGUGGUACGCGAGCUGGGUUUAGAACGUCGUGAGACAGUUCGGUCCCUAUCUGCCGUGGACGUUUGAGAUUUGAGAGGGGCUGCUCCUAGUACGAGAGGACCGGAGUGGACGAACCUCUGGUGUUCCGGUUGUCACGCCAGUGGCAUUGCCGGGUAGCUAUGUUCGGAAAAGAUAACCGCUGAAAGCAUCUAAGCGGGAAACUUGCCUCAAGAUGAGAUCUCACUGGGAACUUGAUUCCCCUGAAGGGCCGUCGAAGACUACGACGUUGAUAGGCUGGGUGUGUAAGCGUUGUGAGGCGUUGAGCUAACCAGUACUAAUUGCCCGUGAGGCUUGACCA
rnacentral:rRNA from 1 species